rnacentral:rRNA from 1 species
AGUGAACGCUGGCGGUAGGCCUAACACAUGCAAGUCGAACGGCAGCACAGGAGAGCUUGCUCUCUGGGUGGCGAGUGGCGGACGGGUGAGGAAUACAUCGGAAUCUACUCUGUCGUGGGGGAUAACGUAGGGAAACUUACGCUAAUACCGCAUACGACCUACGGGUGAAAGCAGGGGAUCUUCGGACCUUGCGCGAUUGAAUGAGCCGAUGUCGGAUUAGCUAGUUGGCGAGGGAAGGGCCCACCAAGGCGACGAUCCGUAGCUGGUCUGAGGGGAUGAUCAGCCACACUGGAACGGAGACACGGUCCAGACUCCUACGGGAGGCAGCAGUGGGGAAUAUUGGACAAUGGGCGCAAGCCUGAUCCAGCCAUACCGCGUGGGUGAAGAAGGCCUUCGGGUUGUAAAGCCCCUUUGUUGGGAAAGAAAUCCAGCUGGCUAAUACCCGGUUGGGAUGACGGUACCCAAAGAAUAAGCACCGGCUAACUUCGUGCCAGCCGCCGCCGUAA